rnacentral:pre_miRNA from 1 species
CCGUGCAUGGUGGAGAAGCAGGGCACGUGCAAUACCAUCCAUGGACGCCGCCUCCUCCUCCUGGAGUGGAGCAUGGGCAUGGAUGGUUCUUCAUGUGCCCGUCUUCUCCACCGAGCACGC